AGAGUUUGAUCCUGGCUCAGGAUAAACGCUGGCGGCGUGCCUAAUACAUGCAAGUCGAUCGCUGGAGUUCUAGCUUGCUAGAAUGAAGGAGAGGCGAACGGGUGAGUAAUACAUAAGCAACCUGCCCACGAAGACUGGGAUAAUUCCUGGAAACGGGGACUAAUACCGGAUAGGCAGCUUGAUCGCAUGAUCGAGCUGUUAAAGAUUCAAAGCACUGGUGGAUGGGCUUAUGGCGCAUUAGCUAGUUGGUGAGGUAACGGCUCACCAAGGCGAUGAUGCGUAGCCGGCCUGAGAGGGUGAACGGCCACAUUGGGACUGAGACACGGCCCAGACUCCUACGGGAGGCAGCAGUAGGGAAUUUUCGGCAAUGGGCGAAAGCCUGACCGAGCAACGCCGCGUGAGUGAAGACGGCCUUCGGGUUGUAAAGCUCUGUUGUAAGGGAAGAACACUGUUGAGAGAAUCGGCAGCUGACGGUACCUUACCAGAAAGCCACGGCUAACUACGUGCCAGCAGCCGCGGUAAUACGUAGGUGGCGAGCGUUAUCCGGAAUUAUUGGGCGUAAAGGGUGCGUAGGCGGCUUGUUAAGUUUAAGGUGAAAGCGUGGGGCUCAACCCCAUACAGCCUUAGAUACUGGCAAGCUAGAGUACUGGAGAGGGAAGUGGAAUUCCAUGUGUAGCGGUAAAAUGCGUAGAUAUAUGGAGGAACACCAGAGGCGAAGGCGGCUUCCUAGACAGAGACUGACGCUCACGCACGAAAGCGUGGGGAGCAAAUAGGAUUAGAUACCCUAGUAGUCCACGCCGUAAACGAUGAAUGCUAAGUAUUGGGGCGACUCAGUGCUGCAGUUAACGCAAUAAGCAUUCCGCCUGUGGAGUAUGCACGCAAGUGUGAAACAUAAAGGAAUUGACGGGGGCCCGCACAAGC
rnacentral:rRNA from 1 species